CGGGGCUUCAAAAAUAGGGCAAGAUAUUAGAAGGCUCUCGGAUUUGGAAUCGCUCCAAUUGGAGUUGAUUUGAAUGCUGAAGGAACUUUUGAAAGGUGGGCUAGGAGCAUUUAAAUCUAUAUUUGAAUAAUAAUGCAACAUAAUAGUUGCUUGGAAAAAUGUGCAAGGCACAUAUAUGGAUAGCCCUGAAUUUUAGGAACCUGCAGGAGUUUGAAUAUAAAAAAUUGGAGUGAAUAUGAAUUUACUAAGGAUUUAUGAAUCUUGUCAGAAAAAGAAAA
rnacentral:lncRNA from 1 species